GUUAAUUGUACAUAACAAAAUCAAUUAAAAUUUAUUAAAUGUAUAGAGGGGAGAGAGAAAGCACUAAACUUUUUAAGUAUUAUGUGAUUUGAGAUAACACAUGACAAGUUCUUGAAAGGGUUUAGCUUUCUUUAUACCUAACACUAAUACUACUUAGUGAAUCAACACUACUUCCCAUCCCUCUUCGAGAUGGGAACUUGCAUCACCAAGCUGUACUUCAUUCAUGCAUAGUUGAGUCAUCAAUGCUGUCCUUGCUCCCAUCACGAAUGUUGUACUUCUCGGGAGUGUGUAAGUUACAAAGAAACAAAAAAAAUACACAAAACACUAAUAUUUACGUG
rnacentral:misc_RNA from 1 species